rnacentral:lncRNA from 1 species
ACAAAAAUUAACUGGGCAUGGUGGCACACGGCUGUAAUCCCCGCUACUCAGGAGGCUGAAGCAGGAGAAUGGCUUAAACCCGGGAGGCGGAGGUUGUGGUGAGCCAAAGAUCACACUACUGCACUCCAGCCUGGGUAACAGAGCAAGACUCCAUCUCAAAAAAAAAAAAAAAAAAAAAGCUUUAAGCACAGAAAUGAUGUGCUCAGAUUUAUGCUUCGUGAAGAAAAAAAAAAAAUCCCUCUGGCUUCAGUGUAGAGGAUGGAGGGGGACCUGUUGGCAGCAGGAGGAUUAAUUACCUGUGACAAUGCAAGAGGCUCUUAUGAAAUAGAGAACCAUGUCAGAGCAAAAUUUAAGCAUGGCACAGGACCUACGAGCACAGGAUUUCUUUUGUUGCUCAGAGAAGGCAAGAAUUGCCAUGAGGCGUGACCCAAGAUCACAGGAUAAGGAAUGCACACACUUUGACUUCCCAAUCUGGCUUUGACUGGGUCUGUGACUUGGACUUGGGUAUCAGUUCUCCCAUCUCAAAGUGAGGAG